rnacentral:miRNA from 1 species
CACCCGGGGUAGGACUUCAGCA